rnacentral:rRNA from 1 species
GACGAACGCUGGCGGCGUGCUUAACACAUGCAAGUCGAACGGAAAGGCCCUGCUUUUGUGGGGUGCUCGAGUGGCGAACGGGUGAGUAACACGUGAGUAACCUGCCCUUGACUUUGGGAUAACUUCAGGAAACUGGGGCUAAUACCGGAUAGGAGCUCCUGCUGCAUGGUGGGGGUUGGAAAGUUUCGGCGGUUGGGGAUGGACUCGCGGCUUAUCAGCUUGUUGGUGGGGUAGUGGCCUACCAAGGCUUUGACGGGUAGCCGGACUGAGAGGGUGACCGGCCACAUUGGGACUGAGGUACGGCCCAGACUCCUACGGGAGGCAGCAGUGGGGAAUAUUGCACAAUGGGCGGAAGCCUGAUGCAGCAACGCCGCGUGCGGGAUGACGGCCUUCGGGUUGUAAACCGCUUUCGCCUGUGACGAAGCGUGAGUGACGGUAAUGGGUAAAGAAGCACCGGCUAACUACGUG